CUACGGGACGCAGCAGUGGGGAAUAUUGCACAAUGGAGGAAACUCUGAUGCAGCAACGCCGCGUGGAGGAUGACACUUUUCGGAGCGUAAACUCCUUUUAUAUAGGAAGAAGAUGACGGUACUAUAUGAAUAAGCGCCGGCUAACUCCGUGCAGCAGCCGCGGUAAUACGGAGGGCGCAAGCGUUACUCGGAAUCACUGGGCGUAAAGAGCGUGUAGGCGGAUUAAAAAGUCAGAAGUGAAAUCCUAUAGCUUAACUAUAGAACUGCUUCUGAAACUCUUAAUCUAGAAUAUGGGAGAGGUAGAUGGAAUUUCUGGUGUAGGGGUAAAAUCCGUAGAGAUCAGAAGGAAUACCGACUGCGAAGGCGAUCUACUAGAACAUUAUUGACGCUGAGACGCGAAAGCGUGGGGAGCAAACAGGAUUAGAUACCCCAGCAGUC
rnacentral:rRNA from 1 species